AGGCAGGACUUUUUUCAGGGUUGUUGCUGUGUGCCUGGUGCUGCUGUGUGUUCUCCUCCUGGCCGGCAUCAUAGGCACUGGACUCCACUGCAGAUUUAAACUGCAGACCCUCAGCAGGAGCUGGGCUGAAAACAGAAGCCAAACUUUGGCUGAAUUCAAUCACUUCUGUAAAGACGGCUGCAAGUCAUUCAACAACAGUUUUUAUUACAUUUCUU